rnacentral:snRNA from 1 species
AUACUUACCUGGCAGGGGAGAUACCACGAUCUCAAAGGUGGUUUUCCCAGGGCAAGGCUUAUCCAUUGCACUCUGGAUGUUGCUAACCUCUGUGAUUCCCUCAAUCAUGNNNN